UGCAACCAAAUUUCUUUUCCAUUGGAGAUAUGGGAAGUGCAAGAAGAUCCUUAUACCCAAGUUGAACUCUGCACAACUACAUAGCUAGUGAAAGCUUGCACAUUCUCAGAUUCUCUACAUAUCAGUAUAUCACGUUGACCUUCUUAAAAUUCCCAUCAUCUUCUUGUCAAGAAUAUUAUUAUUUUCUCUUCAACUACUAGCUAGCUAGGCUAUUGUUUUUGUUUCGAUGAGUAACUACUAGGGUAUUCUUUACUAUUAAACACUCUUAUUUUACCUAUGAACACAUUGUUUAUACAAUUCCUUAGGCUUAUAUAUAUUCUUAUGUUUUGAACGUACUUGUCAAUGAUCUAUUUUCUUUCAUUUGUUGAAAGAGAUUUUGAUUUCAAGCCUCUCUUCUGUAAAUAUGCUGAAAAAUAGACAGAAACUGUAGGUUAGAACCCAAUUAAAAAAAGAACAUAUGAUUGUAUUUCAUAUUAAAAAGAUAAACUAAACAAAAGCAUUGGAUGCCAUAUUAAUCACAAUAUGAUCCUACUUUUUCAGAAGAAAAAACAGAAUUUCCUACCUCGUUCAAGUACCUAAAAAGGCUUGGGGUAGAUCCUAGAUUUUUGACUUUAUAUUAGAGGUAUAUCGCUUUCAUUUUAACUUGAGGACUGCUUAGAUAUUGACUUAUUGAACACUACUUAAAAACAACUUUUAUAGACGCUGAAACUAAACAAACCAUUAAUCCAACUCUUUUCUAAUCAAAUUCUCCAAAAAAAAAUCUGUGGACGAGGCCUCUAAGUUCAACCUCUAAUGUUGCCAGCUACGCAAGGCAUCUUAGGGCACGUUUGGUUGCAAAAAGGGGUUUUGCAUAGUAGCGAUUUCUUGUUCAAAACACAAAAAACUUGGUAACAUUCCAAUGGUUUACAUGCAGAAGGUGUACAUAUAUAGUAACCCCUUUGAAUUCUGCAAAAGAAUUUUUUGUUGGUCGAUGAUGAUCAUUUGAAAUAAGAGCUAGAUAUAUACUAGCCUUCGUAAAAAUCACUUGGACUUGCAUCUUGAAGAAGCAACUAGCAAGUGUCAAGCAUUUCUAAUUUUCUAUGACUUGAUCUAUUAACAAAAAAAAAAAAGCAAUAGGAAAGUGCUUUUGGAUAGCGCUUUUGACGGGUCUAAAAGCAUUGCAAACAUGCCCUUAGCACAAGAACAAAUUAAAAUUGAAAAAUGAGGGUUUUACAUGCUAUGCAGAACCAGAAUCCCCAACAGUUUAUAAUCGAAACAAACAAGUCACUUGUCAAACGAACCAAAACUAUAUAAUAUACGAAAACACAUCAAAUCUACCCCAGAUAGCUUCAAAAAUGCUAUGUGCAGUCCUGAUACGUAAUCAAAUUUUCUCCUUCAUAUUUAUUCGCAUUAACAAAUAACAACUUUGAUAGAAAGGCACGUCUGAUGUGUAGCUCAAUCAGACUCUACUUGUAGCUAUAACUGUAUGAUGCAUCAAAAUCCAAAGCAGCAAUGUCAUGGUUCUCUUGCUCUCUUAGCUCCCUAGCUAGCUACACCCUACAUUCCCUCUUAUUCUCAGGGUCUUUGUCCUUCCUCUCUAUACUUUCACCCCCUAACUUUCCACACCAGUUCCAGCUCUUCUUCUUCUUCAUCAUCAGUAACACUAAGAAUUGUUAUUAGUUUUUGUUACAUCGGAAGAUCGAACUGUGAUCAAUGGGAUCCUACAAAGAAGAUGAAGACACGAGUUACUCGGAUCUGGAUAGAUCGGUGGUGAAGAGAAGAGCAGCUUGCUUUGGUUCGAUUCUGGUGAGUGUUGCAGGAGGACUCUUAUUAGGUUGGUGGGAGUAUCAGUAUCAUCCUUCAUAUCGUCAACUGUGGAUGGUGCCCUUUGGUCUUAUUCUAUUUGCUACACCAGUGAUUGUUUGGUUCUCUUUGGUGGUCUCUCAUAUCUGUAAUUCGAAAGAUGGUGAUAAUGGCACAAGGGUGAGUCAACCCGUUUAUCCACUGAGUAACUCGGUUUCUGCUAAGAAAGAUGAGCAAUGGAAUAACCAUAUCGAUCAUGUAUAAUUUUCUUGUUUUUGCUCGAAGUAAUGAUGUAUAUUCCCUAUGAUUGACAAGGAACACAGACUUUUUUAAUUACAGGUGAUAUUAAUCUUUUUGCGGUUUACUUAUUAUGAAAUUUAAGUAUAUGCUUAUGCUUUAAUUUUA